rnacentral:rRNA from 1 species
AGUGAACGCUGGCGGUAGGCCUAACACAUGCAAGUCGAACGGCAGCACAGUAAUAGCUUGCUCUUACGGGUGGCGAGUGGCGGACGGGUGAGGAAUACAUCGGAAUCUACUUUUUCGUGGGGGAUAACGUAGGGAAACUUACGCUAAUACCGCAUACGACCUACGGGUGAAAGCAGGGGAUCUUCGGACCUUGCGCGAUUGAAUGAGCCGAUGUCGGAUUAGCUAGUUGGCGGGGUAAAGGCCCACCAAGGCGACGAUCGGUAGCUGGUCUGCGAGAAUGAUCAGCCACACUGGAACUGAGACACGGUCCAGACUCCUACGGGAGGCAGCAGUGGGGAAUAUUGGACAAUGGGCGCAAGCCUGAUCCAGCCAUACCGCGUGUGUGAAGAAGGCCUUCGGGUUGUAAAGCCCUUUUGUUGGGAAAGAAAAGCAGCAGGUUAAUACCCCGCUGUUCUGACGGUACCCAAAGAAUAAGCACCGGCUAACUUCGUG